GGGAACGGAAGGAGGCAGGCAGGCCGCUCAAUCAGACUCGGCGGCGCUUCGUCGACGCCACUCUUUUUACGCGCGUCGCACAGGAUGGGCGAUCGUCGAAAUGAGAAGCGCGGCUGAGGAGGAUGCGCGUUCGGCGCUGCUGGCGUGUAGGACACACCUAGGAGCGCGUGUGUCGCAGAAGCAGGAAGCCCCUGCUGAGAGUCUGAGGGUCUCGUAAGGCGCUGAAUUUAAAAAAAAAAACAGCACAGGCCACGAUUGACUUUACCGCGCUGUGGUCGCCCUCGGUUCGGCAAGAGGCAGCCUGACCUACAUUCGCUUUACUUCAUCUGCCUCGAUGUUUGUUUAGCCUCCUGGGCAAACACUUAGAGAAAUGUAUGAAGCAGAAUACAUCACGUUUCGGAUGAAAAACAGUCCCUUGACAUUUCUUGACAGCUGCAGCCCUCUAGUGGCCGUGUGCAAGGGCUCCACAUAGCUAGGGCGGUCAUCGCAUCGCAUCGCAUCGCCCCGCUCGCCGCCGUCCCGCAGAAGCGUCUCUCGAAGUCCGCGGUCUGCGCGUCGCAGCGCUUCGAUGUCGCCACGACGCCUCGGCCGGAGAUGCGCACUGCCACACUGCGUGGGGGGGGGCUAACGUCAGCGUUUGCGCUCGUCGUACGGAGGGGUGGAAGAAACGAGAUGUGGGGCCGCGCGUCUCGGCGCGCCGCAGCCGUACAUCCGCGCAUCCAUCAUCGUCCACGCGGUUCGACGACCGCUGCGGCUGACCGGAUGCAGAAGUGUCGUUUAAUCGGGCCGGCCCCCCGCGGCGCUGCGCAAACGCCGUGGAUAAAAGCGGUCCGGUGUUGCCACACGCUCAGACAAUGUUUGGAAACACUGUGGCGCUGCGCCAGAAGGCCGCUCUUCCCUCCGCAGCCCGCGAAGCAGAAAAGCCCAGCGUGGCCGUUUCAUCCGAUUCCAGGAAAUGCCGAUAUGGGCCACAUAUGUCUGCUCUUGCCAUGCAUUCUUCCACUGCAUUAUGCUGCAACUUUUAUCAUUAUUUCUGCCUCACAGCAAGUUAAGUGCUGCGCCGGAAGCCGCUUAUUAUUAUUUAUGAUACAUUGUAUUAGCCGGUGCAUGUUAAUGGCAAAUAAUAAUGCGAGGGAUGCUGCUCGUACCCCUAAUGGAUUCUGCUGCCACGUCCUCCUUGGAUCGCAUCCCAUCUGCCUGGCAGCCGAAAGCACGUAGUCAUCGGAAGGAGGGAAUAUUUACGGCCUCGGCUUACAGAAACGAAAAAGAUGGGAAAUGUGUGAAAAAAUGACUUUGUUUGCUUUUGAAAAGCAGCAAACAAAACACCCCCCCCCCCCAUGCCCCACCCCACAAGGGACCCCUCUGCUUUCCUCUGGAGGAGUUUGCUGAAGAAGUCAUGCGAGGACAGCUACGUGAAGUGCUGUUCCUACCGCUGUGCUUUCGCCAGGCGUGCCGGGCACGGCCGAGGAGCUAAUUUCUCCGGAAAAGCCGAAUUGUCGUUGCUGCCUGUGGUCCCGGGCUCCGAGCGGUAAGGAGCGUUAACAUCUAGCGUACGUACACGUAACACAGCUUCCGCUCGUGAAAUUAAAUCGCUGACAUUCAUUUAGUGGGACGAGUGGUUUCAACCUGCUUGUCAAGGUCUAGCUCAGAAUAAAAACCGCCAAAAAAAAAAAAAAAUCCCUAGU
rnacentral:lncRNA from 1 species